AUUGAACGCUGGCGGAAUGCUUUACACAUGCAAGUCGAGCGGCAGCGCGGGGCAACCUGGCGGCGAGCGGCGAACGGGUGAGUAAUGUAUCGGAACGUGUCCUGAGAUGGGGGAUAGCCCGGUGAAAACCGGAUUAAUACCGCAUACGAUCGAGAGAUGAAAGUGGGGGACCGCAAGGCCUCACGUCUUAGGAGCGGCCGAUAGAAGAUUAGCUAGUUGGUGAGGUAAAGGCUCACCAAGGCUCCGAUCUGUAGCUGGUCUGAGAGGAUGAUCAGCAACACUGGGACUGAGACACGGCCCAGACUCCUACGGGAGGCAGCAGUGGGGAAUUUUGGACAAUGGGGGCAACCCUGAUCCAGCCAUUCCGCGUGAGUGAAGAAGGCCUUCGGGUUGUAAAGCUCUUUUGUCCGGGAAGAAACGGUUUUGGUUAAUAACCAAGACUACUGACGGUACCGGAAGAAUAAGGACCGGCUAACUACGUGCCAGCCGCCGCGGUAAGAC
rnacentral:rRNA from 1 species